rnacentral:misc_RNA from 1 species
UAGGGUGCGAGCGUUGUCCGGAUUUAUUGGGCGUAAAGGGCUCGGAGGUGGUUGAUCGCGUCGGAAGUGUAAUCUUGGGGCUUAACCCUGAGCGUGCUUUCGAUACGGGUUGACUUGAGGAAGGUAGGGGAGAAUGGAAUUCCUGGUGGAGCGGUGGAAUGCGCAGAUAUCAGGAGGAACACCAGUGGCGAAGGCGGUUCUCUGGGCCUUUCCUGACGCUGAGGAGCGAAAGCGUGGGGAGCGAACAGGCUUAGAUACCCUGGUAGUCCACGCUGUAAACGGUGGGUACUAGGUGUGGGGUCCAUUCCACGGGUUCCGUGCCGUAGCUAACGCUUUAAGUACCCCGCCUGGGGAGUACGGCCGCAAGGCUAAA